GCUGGAAUAGCUCAGUUGGUUAGAGCAUGUGGCUGUUAACCACAAGGUUUGGAGGUUCAAACCUCCUUCUAGCG